UUUUAUCUGGGUUGCUAACUC
rnacentral:tRNA from 1 species